rnacentral:rRNA from 1 species
UACGGAGGGUGCAAGCGUUGUUCGGAAUUAUUGGGCGUAAAGCGCGUGUAGGCGGUCUGUUAAGUCUGAUGUGAAAAGCCCCCGGGCGUCAACCCGGGAACGUGCAUUGGAUACUGGCAGACUUGAGUACGGGAGAGGGGAGUGGAAUUCCGAGUGUAGGGGUGAAAUACCGUAGAUAUUCGGAGGAACACCGGUGGCGAAGGCGGCUUCCUGGACCGAUACUGACGCUGAGACGCGAAGCGUGGGGAGCAAACAGGAUUAGAACGUACCCGGUACGU